AUUGAACGCUGGCGGCAUGCUUUACACAUGCAAGUCGAACGGUAACAGGGAGCUUGCUCCGCUGACGAGUGGCGAACGGGUGAGUAAUGCGUCGGAACGUGCCGAGUAGUGGGGGAUAACGCAGCGAAAGUUGUGCUAAUACCGCAUACGUACUGAGGUAGAAAGUGGGGGACCUUCGGGCCUCACGCUAUUCGAGCGGCCGACGUCUGAUUAGCGAGUAGGUGAGGUAAAGGCUCACCUAGGCGACGAUCAGUAGCGGGUCUGAGAGGAUGAGCCGCCCCACUGGGACUGGGACACGGCCCAGACUCCUACGGGAGGCAGCAGUGGGGAAUUUUGGACAAUGGGCGAAAGCCUGAUCCAGCCAUGCCGCGUGUCUGAAGAAGGCCUUCGGGUUGUAAAGGACUUUUGUCGGGGAGGAAAUCCCCAGCGCUAAUACCGCUGGGGGAUGACAGUACCUGAAGAAUAAGCACCGGCUAACUACGUGCCAGCAGCCGCAGUAAAAC
rnacentral:rRNA from 1 species